GAGGGUGUAGCUCAGUGGUAGAGCGCAUGCCUAGCAUGCACAAGGUCCUGGGUUCAAUCCCCAGUACCUCCA
rnacentral:tRNA from 1 species